CAGUCCUCAAGGGCCCUUCCCUCCUGUUUCAAAGCCAGGCCCAGUCAAUGAUGAGGGGAGGGACAAAUCUGUCGAAGUAACUUAGUUUUUUUUUUUCCUUUUUUGGCUCUCAGGGUGGUGAGAUAGUUCCUUGACCAAGGAUUGAACUGGAGCCCUUGGGAUUGAAAGCACCAAGCCCUAACCACUGGACCACAGGGAAUUUCCUGAAAAUUACUUCUAAGGUACAGAAGGUGGAGGAAAAGUAGUGGGGGCUGGCUUGGCUCCUCACAGCACUGAGCGAGAAGGGAACAGCGGCAGAGACCACAGGCCAAAGGGCCAACGCUGGGAAGACACCCAACACAGAGCCAUGUGCUGAGGUUGAAGAGGGAGGAAGAUGCUGAGCAUGCUGUACAGGCAGCCAGGGCUUCCUCUUGGAUGGACUCCUAUCAGUGUCUAUGUAGGUCCCACUAUGUGUUUCCUGAAACGUGGGUCCCAGUGCUAUCCAUUCCAGAACAUUCCAUCAUUAUGAAUAACAGGCUGUAAGAAAGUAAUCUUCCUCUCUAGCAGCGGCUUCGUUUCUUUUCUGUUCUGAGAGGAAGCCAAAAAGAGAAGACCUCAAGCGGCCAUGAACUCUGCCAUCACCAGCUGUGAGCACCCCAACCCUUUGGAAUCCUCCUUCCUACUGCUGUUCCCUCUGUGCCAGCCUCCUCCUGCUCUGCUGCUCUGCUCCAGAGAGAUGACACGCUGUCCCUGUACACACAGGAAUGCACCUGCCAGCAACUGCCCUCAACCAGGAGAGGAGAGUUUCAUUCUCCCAUUUACAAGGGGACCUGGGACAAGUCAUGUAAUCUCACUGAGCCUCCAUCUCCUCUCUGGAAACUGGGUUGUGAGAAUCAAAUGAGAGGAUGCACUGGAAGCUCUUUGCAAGCUGUAAAGCACUAUAAAAUGCCACACCUCACAGAAUGCCUCUUUGAGCAAGUGUUUUUGGUGAAAUUACAGCCCGUGUUCUGAGCUGAUAGACUCUUCCAAUCAGAAGAACAGCUUGUGGCCCGUCUUCUCAUACCAGUGCUGACUCAUGCGGAAGCUUCGUUAAGAGUUUAUUCUUCCUUCAAAAGGGGCUUGUAGGCAUUCUUCUGCCACUAUAAGAGUCAUAGACUUAAAAACAAAGUAUUUACUUGGCCAUGCCAGGUCUUAGUUGUACCAUGUGAACUCCUGGUUGAGGCAUGUGCCAUCUAGUUCCCUGACCAAAGGUUGAACCUGGACCCCCUGCAUUGGGAGCUCAGAAUCUUAAUCACUGGGCCACCAGGGAAGUCUGAGAGUUACAGAAUUUUACUGACCAGGGAUUCCCCUGGGAUAAAGUCACUUCCCCCAUCUGGAUAUGCCCUGAGGUGGGGCUUUUUCCACCUCCAUCUGGGAAGCCCCUGCUCUACAAUAUCUCUGGGAUGUCACAUUUCUAUGCAUAUCUUUAAUAUGCUAGUGACUCAUCUCUGACACACAGGAAUCUUAGCCCACUGUGUACCUGUUUAUUUGAUUUUUUGCCCCAGCACUUUAUGUAAGUGACACAAAGUGCUUUACAGCAAAAGAUGUAUUUUGAUCAGGCUCUGUGCGUUCUACCAGCCAUAGCUGACAUGCUUCACAGAAGUCACACACUCUUAUCAGAGUGAAGAACCAGCUGUUCUCAAGGAAGAUAAGUUUUUCUCCACUCUUAAGUACUAAUUUUUUUCCAUGUUGGGCCUCAUACAAGGACAAUUUCCCAGAAAAGUGUUGUAAAGCAAUUACAGAAGUGGUUUCCAUAGCCUCAUCAGGUCCAGAUUGAUAUCCAGACAAACUUAGAAUAUUCAGUCAUCAGGCAGAGAACACUCUUGGAGUCACUGACUUUUUUUUUUAAGAUUUUUUCUGAU
ensembl:lncRNA